rnacentral:rRNA from 1 species
UACGAAGGGGGCUAGCGUUGCUCGAAAUCACUGGGCGUAAAGGGUGCGUAGGCGGGUCUUUAAGUCAGGGGUGAAAUCCUGGAGCUCAACUCCAGAACUGCCUUUGAUACUGAGGAUCUUGAGUUCGGGAGAGGUGAGUGGAACUGCGAGUGUAGAGGUGAAAUUCGUAGAUAUUCGCAAGAACACCAGUGGCGAAGGCGGCUCACUGGCCCGAUACUGACGCUGAGGCACGAAAGCGUGGGGAGCAAACAGG